UUGUUUUAUGUAUGUAUGUUUCAGGUUGUUGGUUGCUGUGUUUCUUUUUUUUCUCUCCCAAGCAGCUGUUUCAAGAAGAACAAUGAUGAAGAUCGCAGUUGUUGUAACACAGAUACAGGGAACUGCUAAGGUUGGUUUUUUUUGUUUU
rnacentral:ribozyme from 14 species